rnacentral:tRNA from 1 species
CAAAACGUAGCUUAACGCAAAGCAUUUAGCUUACACCUAAAAGACUUCAGCUAAUCCUGACCGUUUUGA